UGCAUAUCAAUAAGCGGAGGAAAAGAAACUAACAAGGAUUCCCCUAGUAACGGCGAGUGAAGCGGGAAAAGCUCAAAUUUGUAAUCUGGCGCCUUCGGCGUCCGAGUUGUAAUCUCGAGAAGUAUUUUCCGCGCUGGACCGCACACAAGUCUGUUGGAAUACAGCGUCAUAGUGGUGAGAACCCGGUAUAUGGUGCGGAUGCCCAGUGCUUUGUGAUAUACUUUCGAAGAGUCGAGUUGUUUGGGAAUGCAGCUCAAAUUGGGUGGUAAAUUCCAUCUAAAGCUAAAUAUUGGCGAGAGACCGAUAGCGAACAAGUACCGUGAGGGAAAGAUGAAAAGCACUUUGGAAAGAGAGUUAACAGUACGUGAAAUUGUUGGAAGGGAAACGCUUGAAGUCAGACUUGCAUUUUGGGGUUCAGCCGCAAGGUGUACUCUCCAAUUCGCAGGCCAGCAUCAGUUUUCGGGGGUGGAAAAUCGCGGUUUGAAGGUAGCAGUCUCGGCUGUGUUAUAGCUUUCCGCUGGAUUCACUUUUGGGGACUGAGGAACGCAGUACGCUUUUUGCAAGAUUUUAGAGUCUUUCGUACUUAGGAUGCUGGUGGAAUGGCUUUAAACGACCCGUCUUGAAACACGGACCA
rnacentral:rRNA from 1 species